CACGUAGGGGGCGAGCGUUGUCCGGAUUUAUUGGGCGUAAAGAGCUCGUAGGCGGCUCACUAAGUCGGGUGUGAAAACUCUGGGCUCAACCCAGAGACGCCACCCGAUACUGGUGUGGCUUGAGUCCGGUAGGGGAGCGUGGAAUUCCUGGUGUAGCGGUGAAAUGCGCAGAUAUCAGGAGGAACACCAGUGGCGAAGGCGGCGCUCUGGGCCGGAACUGACGCUGAGGAGCGAAAGCGUGGGUAGCAAACAGG
rnacentral:rRNA from 1 species